rnacentral:rRNA from 1 species
AGCGAACGCUGGCGGCAGGCCUAACACAUGCAAGUCGAACGAACCUUUCGGGGUUAGUGGCGGACGGGUGAGUAACACGUGGGAACGUGCCUUUAGGUUCGGAAUAACUCAGGGAAACUUGUGCUAAUACCGAAUGUGCCCUUCGGGGGAAAGAUUUAUCGCCUUUAGAGCGGCCCGCGUCUGAUUAGCUAGUUGGUUGAGGUAAUGGCUCACCAAGGCGACGAUCAGUAGCUGGUCUGAGAGGAUGAUCAGCCACAUUGGGACUGAGACACGGCCCAAACUCCUACGGGAGGCAGCAGUGGGGAAUCUUGCGCAAUGGGCGAAAGCCUGACGCAGCCAUGCUGCGUGAAUGAUGAAGGUCUUAGGAUUGUAAAAUUCUUUCACCGGGGACGAUAAUGACGGUACCCGGAGAAGAAGCCCCGGCUAACUUCGUG